CAGUGAUUUUUAACAGAGAAAACCCCAUAUGCAGAAGGAAAAGGCAAGCCAAUUAAUCAGUAAACAGUGACACUGAUCCACUUCUUCAUUAGAAACCCUGAUUUUAUCACCUGAUAAAUAACUAGACUAUCAGAAAACGAGAGAGAUUGAUUAUAAACUACUAAGAAGAAUACCAGAACACACUGAAGUGGAGCACCAAGCCUGCCUCCCGAACAUCCCAGGCUCUCUUCAGAGAAUUUGGGAUUUGAAUUUGGAAAGUUGGGAGCAACUCAG
rnacentral:lncRNA from 1 species